AUUAACGCUAGCGGCAGGCAUAAUACAUGCAAGUUGGACGGCAAGCACAGGUAGCAAUACUGGGUGGCGAGUGGCGCACGGGUGCGUAACACGUAUGCAACCUACCCUAUACAGGCGAAUAACCUUUAGAAAUGAGGGCUAAUACGCCGUAGUAUUACAGAUGGGCAUCUAUUUGUAAUUAAAGAUUUAUCGGUAUAGGAUGGGCAUGCGUCCCAUUAGUUAGUUGGUAAGGUAACGGCUUACCAAG
rnacentral:rRNA from 1 species